GAUUCUUGACUCUAUCACUCCUUAAAGCUUCUUGACCUUGGGCAAGUUUUCCGAGCCUCAGUGUCCCCAUCUGUAAAAUGGGAGCAUCCUGCCAUUUGGUGAGUAUGGAGGCCCUGUGAGGACGGGAACUCGCCCACCGUGCCCGCAGGCUCACCUGUUCAGGAUCCAGACCUCCUUGCUGCAGGCCAGGGCUGCGCGGAGCUUGUCAGCUUCGUUGACCAGGGUGGCUUUCCGGAACUGGUCCCAGGCGAAGUCCCACUCCUCCUCGCCGCCCUGGGCGAUGGCGUUGCAGUAGACGGUGGACCGCAG